ensembl:snoRNA
UGUACCCGUGAUAAUGACGGGUGCAAGAUGAGUUAUGCAUGAUGUUCACCGCUUAUCUAGAACGCGGAGGUCCAA